UGCUUAUGCAUAAGAAGCGAGUCAGAGGGGAAGAAGGUUUCAAUUCAUCCAACUUGUCAAAAAUUUUAUUGGUUCAUGAAGGAGGAGGUGUCAAAAGGCAAAAGUAAACACAAGUGAAGCUAGAC
ensembl:ncRNA ZK899.11 ncRNA